CAAAAGGCAAUGACGAGGAAUAGUAAUUUCCUUUUAUUCUUUCAGAGAGCUGCCGGCUGGUGAAAGGCAGUAGAUGAAUGGUUGUGAACUCGCCUCCGAGCUGUACAUUUGAACCUUUAGUAGAAUGUACCGGUCACCCACCGUUAUGAGGGAAAGGCAUGUUAGUGCUGAUGAGGGCAUGUCCAUCGGACAUGAAGUAGAGUGGUACCGCGAAGGAUUAUCUCUUUCGUCUCUACA
rnacentral:ncRNA from 1 species